ACUUAAGCAUAUCAAUAAGCGGAGGAAAAGAAACUAACGAGGAUUCCCCUAGUAACUGCGAGUGAAGCGGGAAAAGCUCAAAUUUGAAAUCUGGCGGUUCUUGACCGUCCGAGUUGUAAUCUAGAGAAGUGUUACCAGUGCUGGACCGUGUACAAGUCUUCUGGAAUGGAGCAUCACAGAGGGUGAGAAUCCCGUCUUUGACAUGGACUGCCAGUGCGACUUGAUGGUGCGCUCUCGAAGAGUCGAGUUGUUUGGGAAUGCAGCUCAAAAUGGGUGGUAAAUGCCAUCUAAAGCUAAAUAUUGGCGAGAGACCGAUAGCGAACAAGUACCGUGAGGGAAAGAUGAAAAGAACUUUGGAAAGAGAGUUAAACAGUACGUGAAAUUGCUGAAAGGGAAACGCUUGAAGUCAGUCGCGUCGGCUAGAAAUCAGCCAUUUGCUCUUGCUUGGUGUACUUUCUGGUCGGACGGGUCAGCAUCAAUUUUGACCGCUGGAUAAAGUCUUUUUGGGAACGUGGCAUUCUUUUUUGAAUGUGUUAUAGCCCAUGGUCGCAUACAGCGGUUGGGAUUGAGGAACUCAGCACCGCCGCAAGGCUCGGGUCAUUUUUUUGACCACGUUUUUCAAGUGCUUAGGAUGCUGGCAUAAUGGCUUUAAUCGACCCGUCUUGAAACACGGACCAAGGAGUCUAACAUGCCUGCGAGUGUUUGGGUGGAAAACCCAUGCGCGUAAUGAAAGUGAAAGUUGAGAUCCC
rnacentral:rRNA from 1 species